AUUGAACGCUGGCGGCAUGCCUUACACAUGCAAGUCGAACGGUAACAGGUCUUCGGAUGCUGACGAGUGGCGAACGGGUGAGUAAUACAUCGGAACGUGCCCGAUCGUGGGGGAUAACGAGGCGAAAGCUUUGCUAAUACCGCAUACGAUCUACGGAUGAAAGCGGGGGGUCUUCGGACCUCGCGCGGACGGAGCGGCCGAUGGCAGAUUAGGUAGUUGGUGGGAUAAAAGCUUACCAAGCCGACGAUCUGUAGCUGGUCUGAGAGGAUGAUCAGCCACACUGGGACUGAGACACGGCCCAGACUCCUACGGGAGGCAGCAGUGGGGAAUUUUGGACAAUGGGCGAAAGCCUGAUCCAGCCAUGCCGCGUGCAGGAUGAAGGCCUUUGGGUUGUAAACUGCUUUUGUACGGAACGAAAAGCCUCUUUCUAAUAAAGAGGGGUCAUGACGGUACCGUAAGAAUAAGCACCGGCUAACUACGUG
rnacentral:rRNA from 1 species